rnacentral:misc_RNA from 1 species
AAGCUCUUGGUGGAGCCUCACUCUUGUCGACCCUUUGGUUUUGGCAUGCUUGAUCAGGUUCUGCAGGCCUAAGUACUGUUUGAUGGCACCUGCACCAUAUUGACAUGCUGGACAGUGCCACUGUCUAGCUGGGUCAUUGGUCUCCUCUACACUCAAAUACUCCAAUCCCUCAAGAAAUUUCUUGAACCACUUGCUCUUCUUGCAACUCUCAGGGCUCCUUGGACUUGCUUCGGAAUCAUAGUCAUCAGUAUCAGGCAAUGUAUCAGAGUCACUACCAUGAUCAGUGUCUGCAGCAGUAGCAGCACCAGAAAAAGCAGUUUCAAAUUUCUCUACAUCGUCUGCAACUUUUUCUUGGCCUUCUCCUGAACCCUUCCAUGGACUAGAACCAUUACUAUGUUGCCUAUUCAAUCUUUGUCCCAUAGGAGGGAUAUCAUCAAAUAUUGCAGGCAUGUCCUUGAGACUGCUAGAAGCUGAUUUGGUCCCUUCGUUUUCUCUGCUGACUGAUAAUACAGAAUGAGAAUUAUAUUUGUGGUGAAGCACUGAUCGAACCUCUCUAAGCGGCAAAAGAAAUUUAUUUGGAACAUUGCUUGAAGUUGUCUCCUCAUACUUCCUUUUAGGAACUAUCUGCUCGUUAUCAGCCUCUGCAGAAUCAUUAGUACCUGCUAUGUGGUGACUAAACUGCACAAUUUUUUUCACCUCUGGUGGUGAUAGGAUUUUACUGGUUCCAGCAGUGAAAUGCUUUCCAUUGCCAUUUUCUGAACCUGUCUUCGCAUACAAUCCUUUUCUGCAAGUACGUUUUGGAACCAGCUUCGUAGACAGUGCCUUUUCCCACAGGUUGAGCACAUCCUUCGAGAGAACAUUCUUAAAUGUCUCCAAUUGUAAGACACAUUCACAGUUUAAGCCUGGACAUGUAAAAGUCUUCAUGCCCAAUUUGAUCUUUGCCUCCACAUGCUUGCUUAUACAUUCCAAGCAAAUUGGGUGACGACAGUUCCCAUUCUUGAUCAGCUGAUCAUUUUCUUUUUUCCCCAGGCAAUUUUCGCAGAAACCCAUAGAGGAUUCUCCUCUUACUUCCACAUGAACCGAUGGCUUGGCACUUGUCCCAGAAGUUGGCAUUUGACAAGUGAUCAGAGAGGCCUUCAAAGCCUCCUGGAACUGCAAUUCUUCUGCAAAUGCAGCAUCUAAGAGUAGCAUAGUCUCAUCUUCUUCAUUUUUGCCCAAGAAAGGUGGGAAGUGGGCAUCAUUUAGAGGAAAAAUAUCAAAGGCUUGGGCUAUUUCCAUUUUACAAAAUCAAUCUUUG